UACAGAGGGGGCAAGCGUUGUUCGGAAUUACUGGGCGUAAAGGGCGCGUAGGCGGCCUGCUAAGUCGAACGUGAAAUCCCUGGGCUCAACCCAGGAACUGCGUCCGAUACUGGUUGGCUUGAAUCCGGGAGAGGGAUGCGGAAUUCCGGGUGUAGCGGUGAAAUGCGUAGAUAUCUGGAGGAACACCGGUGGCGAAGGCGGCAUCCUGGACCGGCAUUGACGCUGAGGCGCGAAAGCCAGGGGAGCAAACGGG
rnacentral:rRNA from 1 species